AGCGAACGCUGGCGGCAGGCCUAACACAUGCAAGUCGAACGAACCUUUCGGGGUUAGUGGCGGACGGGGGAGGAACACGUGGGAACGUGCCUUUAGGUUCGGAAUAACUCAGGGAAACUUGUGCUAAUACCGAAUGUGCCCUUCGGGGGAAAGAUUUGUCGCCUUUAGAGCGGCCCGCGUCUGUUUAGCUAGUUGGGUGAGGAAAUGGCUCACCAAGGCGACGAUCAGUAGCUGGUCUGAGAGGAUGAUCAGCCACAUUGGGGCUGGGACACAGCCCAGACUACUGCGCGAUGCAGCAGUGCGUAAUCCUGCGCUACCGGCUGAGGCAUGACGCAGCCAUGCCGCGUGAGUGAUGUAGGUCUUAGGGUUGUAAAAUUCUUUAACCGGGGGCGAUAAUGACGGUACCCAGAGAAGAAGCCCCGGCUAACUUCGUG
rnacentral:rRNA from 1 species